GCGACAACAGUGUGCUGAGAAAAGUUUUUGGGCAGAGUCGGCGAUUUCAACCAGAUAAACCUGCAACGAUAGCCCAAGCAGCUGUUGCAUUAACUAGUGGCACUGGAGAUGGUACUUUACAUGCAUGGAGCAUGUACAUGCUAAAUGAGGUGGCAUGCUGGAAUAGCCAGAUAGGUGUAGCUACUUGCUUGAAG